rnacentral:misc_RNA from 1 species
GGACAAGCUUGGCGAAGAGGUCAGGUCGUCGGAUGGAGGCGAGGAUGCCGAUCAUGGCGGAGACGGAGUGGCCGACGAAGGCGCAGCGCGGGAUGCGGAGCGCGUCGAGGAUGGCGAGCAGGUCGUCGACGUAGGCGUCGAGGUUGUCGUAGCGGCGGAAGUCGAAGUGGUCCGGGUUGACGCUGCCGGCGCAGACGAGGUCGUAGAGCACGACGCGGUGGUCGCGGGUGAGGUACGGCAGCACGCGGCUCCACGCCGACUGGUCCGUCCCGAAGCCAUGCGACAGCACCACCACCCGCUCGCCGC